GGAGAUGCAGAUUGGGUUCAUCAAAGAUGAGAAUUAUAUAUAUAGGGUUUACAGAGGGGCUACAAAUCAGGAACAUUUAUGAUCAAGCGAUUUAAGAUGGGAACAUGAAGAGUUCACCGGUGAAAAAAUAGAUUACGAACAGACACACGGCGCAACUCUGUAACUCAAACUUGUUUGAGACAAUGAUGAAAAGAACUCAAACUCAUGUUAA
rnacentral:lncRNA from 1 species